rnacentral:pre_miRNA from 1 species
AUUGCUUGACUCAUAGUAGGUGUUCAGUAAGUGAUGGCUGAAUAAUAAAUAUGUGAAUGACCUGUUAAUAUCAUUGUCAUCACUAUUAUGAUUUUG